rnacentral:sRNA from 1 species
GUAAGGAACAAGUGGCACGUUCCAGUGACUAUCUCGAUGGGCAACUGACCUUUCGCGAGCGCCUGCUGGUGCGCCAUCACCUGAUGUUCUGCCCCAACUGCCGGCGCUUUAUCCGGCAGAUGCGCUUGAUGCAGGCGACGCUGAAGAUCCUGCCCGAGCCGCCUAUCGCCGAUGUUGAUGCGUUGGCCGAACGCCUGGCCGCCGAGCGCUCCCGCGACCAAUAAUAUCCAUCACUUUUCACACUGAAACGAAGCCCGCAUCGACAAAAGAUGCGGGCU